rnacentral:rRNA from 1 species
UACGUAGGCAGCAAGCGUUGUUCGGAGUUACUGGGCGUAAAGAGUGCGUAGGCGGUCUUCUAAGUUUGGUGUGAAAUCUCCCGGCUCAACUGGGAGGGUGCGCCGAAAACUGGAAGGCUUGAGGAUGGGAGAGGCAUGCGGAAUUCCUGGUGUAGCGGUGAAAUGCGUAGAUAUCAGGAGGAACACCUGCGGUGUAGACAGCAUGCUGGACCAUUUCUGACGCUGAGGCACGAAAGCGUGGGUAGCAAACAGG